rnacentral:rRNA from 1 species
GACGAACGCUGGCGGCGUGCUUAACACAUGCAAGUCGAACGGAAAGGCCCUGCUUUUGUGGGGUGCUCGAGUGGCGAACGGGCGAGUAACACAUGAGUAACCUGCCCUUGACUUUGGGAUAACUUCAGGAAACUGGGGCUAAUACCGGAUAGGAGCUCCUGCUGCAUGGUGGGGGUUGGAAAGUUUCGGCGGUUGGGGAUGGACUCGCGGCUUAUCAGCUUGUUGGUGGGGUAGUGGCUUACCAAGGCUUUGACGGGUAGCCGGCCUGAGAGGGUGACCGGCCACAUUGGGACUGAGAUACGGCCCAGACUCCUACGGGAGGCAGCAGUGGGGAAUAUUGCACAAUGGGCGGAAGCCUGAUGCAGCAACGCCGCGUGCGGGAUGACGGCCUUCGGGUUGUAAACCGCUUUCGCCUGUGACGAAGCGUGAGUGACGGUAAUGGGUAAAGAAGCACCGGCUAACUACGUG